UGGGUGAGUGCUUGACUCCAAUUAUAUGACUGAGGAUGGUGGAAGAUGGCAGAAAUUGAUAAGCAAAUUAAUGUAACUGAACAAAACAUAUGGAUCCUUGAGCCUUUGAGGUUAUUAUAAGGUCAAUACUUGAACUAGUACAGUCAUCAUGAUCAUCUCCAGAAUACCUGGGAGGCUCUUCCCCAGCAGAAUUAUACAGGUGAACAACACCACCUCACCCCAGAGUGAGCGAAUCCCAGCCCCUAGGUCAGCUCUGGUCAUCCUGUGCCUAGGGGUUUGUCUCUCCAUGUUCAGUGCUCAUCGACUUCAUACGACAUGCUCGAUCAGACAUGUCAAAGAUAAGUAGAUUUAUAAAGGACUAGUGACCUGAAAAUGGACACUGAUAGAGACAUGCUCAUGUAUGUGACAGAACCUGCAGGACAGGCCUGUAUAUUGACCUGAUCAAGGUCAUUUUGAGCCUGGAUUUGUUAGCAGAUGGAGGAAUGCAUGAGACCAUUGAGACAGCAAUCGCUUGAGCAAGCCAUAUGUGCCAUGGUGCCAUUCGGUUGAAGUGGAUUGUUUGUAACAAGAACGGUGAAGACUCAUCCAGAUUGGAUAACACAGUUCUGUGAAUACAUGUAGGCCUACAUGUAACAUGUAGAUGAAACUUUCAGAGAACAUCUAAGAACAAGUGCCUAAUUGAUGGUCAGUGCUUCACACAAACAGUUUAUAGGCAUUCUGGUUUUUGUAUUUCAAGUAUCAAGGUCUUCAUGAGAUUCCUCUUUGAACCUUGGCAAUUAAAGAAAUCAUUUGAUGUGAAGACUUGUCUGCAGAUGAUUUAUGGAGUUAUAUUCCUAUUGCUUAGACCUGAGCUAUCUGUUGUCAAAGUUUUAUAGUUCUCAUCUGAUCUCAUUUCCAAUAUUCAUGAGGUAAAAUCGAGUAAUGAAUGUAAAAAAAGAAUAUUUUCCCAAAAUGUCAAAUGAGAUAAUCAAUGCUUAGAAUUGCUGGGUGAUAUUUUGAUAUUAUUGAAAAAUAUUGAAUAUUCGGUAAUGCUUUCAUGGCUUUGUUCAUCUUUCAAGAUUAUAUGAUAUGACCCCAAAAGUAAUACUGUUACUUAUGAAAAAUGAAUCACUAUUUAUUGACUACAAAUGCCAUUCUGUAUUGCUUUAAACCAACUCAACAUAAAGCUGGUACACAAAUUCCCACUUUUCAUGGACAAGCACAGAUUAUAGCCUUGCAUUUUGUAUCCCUCAUUCUUGCUCUCACAGUAUUGCUUACUUUCAUAAUGAACGAAUGAUAAUGAAUUUUCCGACUUGGCGUUGUUAUGUGUUACUGGAGAUAUUUUGUUGGCGAUAGAUGUCCAGCACUGCAGUAAUGCCUACAUGUCUUUUAAUAAGUAAUUGACAAACUCGUUUUGAGGUCAUAAAUUCCCAAUAUCAUACAUUACAUCAUGUAUCUCGGUCAUCUGAAUGCUUAAAAUUUGCACUAUACCCAACCCUCUAGUCUUCAGUUGACCUCAAUAUUAGUAUAAAGUCCUUUAAAAAAUGUAUGAUUUUAUAUUUUUUCAUUGAUUUGUUAACUUUCUAAUAUUACAACAGAAGAUGGGGAUGAUGGUGUGUGGAUGUUAUGUAUAUGCCUACAUAUGAUGUACAACUUCAAGUACAUGAAAAUGUAGCUCUCCUGCCCACAUGUGUGUGACAUAGUUGAUAUGAAGUGUGCAUAUAUGUUGUAAAUAAUAGAUUUUAUGACUGGUACAUGUACACGAUAUUGUAGUUUAGCAUUCCUUGCAUGGUAUUCUGUUCAGGAUUUGAUCUAUAAAUACAGUCCAUAAACAUCAUACCUUCAGUCUCAUGAACUGUUGACCCAUGUGAACAUCAAUUCAAUUUUGAACAUAAACUACAAUAUAGAUUACAAAAAGUUAUCUCUUUUACUAUAUAGAGACCUUAAAUUUAUGAUGGAAUAAAGAUUAGAAUUUCCUUCAUACAUUAUGUGUAGGCCUACAUUUGCCAAAAUCAACAGCGAUCUGAGAAGAAUCUGCUGUAGCUUAAAAGUUGGGAAAUACUGUCUUGCAGUAGUCCUCUCACAAGUGUUUGGCACAAAUAUAAAUAUUUAAGUCCCCUAAUCUAAUUCUUUUAUUUCCGAUUUCAAGAUAUUGACAAUGUACUUUACUGUAGGAUUAAAAAAAAUAAAUUACUGUACUUCUCAUGACAGUAAUGUUACAUUUAUGUUCACCUUGUUUACAUGUAAGUAACAGCAGGUAUCUUUUCUGGUCACUGAGCCUUCGACCUUUAAAGAGGAGUUUAUGAUUGAUGGUUUCAGACAUGUGCUGGAUGAAAGUGAAUUCAUAGGUCACAGACUUUAUUACUUAACCUAUCUUCAGUACAUUGAAUGGUGUCUUGAUAUUCAUGGAGAUAAAGAGAGAAUAUUAUUGUUCAUGUAGUCCAGACUUGCUGUUCUUAUAUGAAAUAGUGAAAACUGCUCUGGCCUUGUACAUGUAUCUAGGAUGCAAAGUAAUAAUAUGCAACCGUAUUGUGCAAUGACACGAAUUAACGAUUGUAAUUUGAAGACUGGUGGGAGGAUUGGGGUGUAACAUUAAUCUUAGCACCUUUUGCAAUUUCUGGACGUGGAUUUCCAUAGACUUUACAGUCAAGUAAAUGCAAUUGUUCAAUUGAUUUCACUGGUUCAUUUUGGGGUGACAUUUUCCCCUUGUUUUUUUAUGAAUGAUAUGUACUGCCCCAUUCGAGAACUUACAAAAUGUAUGACUUGAGAUCAAGAUGAUAAACAGUAGGCUAUAUAUUACAUCAGGAUUUUGAGCAGUGAUUAAGAGAAAGUAAUGUGCAGGAUGCCAAAUAGAAAUGCCAACAUGAGAAUAUACUUAAGUUAUUACCCAGGUGCUUCUACAAUUGUUUUUAAGAAAAAUCUGAAUAUCUUUGUAUUGAAUCAUAGUAUUGAUUCUGAAUUCAUGACGUCUGUUACGCAUCAACACUCCUGGUAUCCUAUUAUUAUGUUAGUACUGAUUGCUACAUGUACGUAAUUGAUUACUAAUUUUGGAUUUCCAUUCUUUGUAUGUAACUAGUGUUUUCAUGAUUAAUGCAGAACUCUUAUUUCAUUAGCCUUGUUCAUAGAUUUUUUGUCAUGGUUUGUUCAAUGGUUUGUUCCAUUUUAUAUUUAUAUUAUAGCUUUGCUAAUAUGACACAGAGGAGUGAAUUAUUUUAUACUCUUAUUCCAUUUAAGAUGUCAGAAUUUUGUUUCAAGAUGGACGAUUUGUGAUAGCUAAUUUUUUAAAAUUUUGUUGUGUUCCAUCAAUUUGUCUGCGUGUGGAUGUACGACAUUGUCUAUGGAUGUUAAGUGAAGAACUUUGCAUGAAUAAUGCCACCACAAAUAUUCAACGAAAAGAUGCCAAUUUCCCGUAAUUGUCAUUAAAGAUUGGGACUUGUUUGAUUUUACUUGAUUGUCGUAUUCAACCCAUCAUUGCAUUGGUCAGAUUAUCAUUGCAAACAUAUAACUUCAUCUAUUUCCCCCAAAUGUACAGCAUUUCCUUUUAUUUUUUUAUUAGAUUUUGAAGUGUGUUUACAAAAGUGAUAUAUGAGUGAUGAGAGGCACACUAACAAUGGGGAAUAUUAAAAUCUAAAAAAUUGCUAUGUAAUAUAUGUACUUUGUUUAUGCAAGUACCUUUACAUUAAUUAGUCCUGCACAGAGUCUUAGAAAAUGCAACUCAAAAUUGAAAAAAAUGUACCCAUGAAUAUUAAAUGUGAAACAAUAAUACCAUUGAUUUUACCACAGCAGAUGAUCCAUCAUUGUUUUUUUUUUUGGAACAUACAUGUGUGUACAGUACCUUAUAUAUUUCUAAUAUGAUAGUGAUAUUCAAUUGCUCUAUAAUGCUUUAUUCACACAUAAACCUUGCAGUUUCACUUAUACGGUUUAUUUGUGCAUGUACUAAGUUGAUUCUUUCAACAUUCAGAAUAUAGUUCAUUUCAGUAUUUGCAGUAUAUCUCUUCUGCCUUUGAUUGUAAUAUGAGUUCAUUCUUGAUGAAUAUAAUAAAUACAGAAAAUAACCUA
rnacentral:lncRNA from 1 species